AGAGUUUGAUCCUGGCUCAGGAUGAACGCUGGCGGCGUGCUUAACACAUGCAAGUCGAACGAUGAACUCCCAGCUUGCUGGGGGGGAUUAGUGGCGAACGGGUGAGUAACACGUGAGUAACCUGCCCUGGACUCUGGGAUAACCCCGAGAAAUCGGAGCUAAUACCGGAUAUGACCUGGAACCGCAUGGUUUUGGGUGGAAAGUUUUUUCGGUCUGGGAUGGACUCGCGGCCUAUCAGCUUGUUGGUGAGGUAAUGGCUCACCAAGGCGUCGACGGGUAGCCGGCCUGAGAGGGUGACCGGCCACACUGGGACUGAGACACGGCCCAGACUCCUACGGGAGGCAGCAGUGGGGAAUAUUGCACAAUGGGCGAAAGCCUGAUGCAGCAACGCCGCGUGAGGGAUGACGGCCUUCGGGUUGUAAACCUCUUUUAGUAGGGAAGAAGGGCUUCGGCUUGACGGUACCUGCAGAAAAAGCACCGGCUAACUACGUGCCAGCAGCCGCGGUAAUACGUAGGGUGCGAGCGUUGUCCGGAAUUAUUGGGCGUAAAGAGCUCGUAGGCGGUUUGUCACGUCUGCUGUGAAAUCCCGAGGCUCAACCUCGGGCCUGCAGUGGGUACGGGCAGACUGGAGUGCGGUAGGGGAGAUUGGAAUUCCUGGUGUAGCGGUGGAAUGCGCAGAUAUCAGGAGGAACACCGAUGGCGAAGGCAGAUCUCUGGGCCGUAACUGACGCUGAGGAGCGAAAGCGUGGGGAGCGAACAGGAUUAGAUACCCUGGUAGUCCACGCCGUAAACGUUGGGCGCUAGAUGUGGGGACCAUUCCACGGUUUCCGUGUCGUAGCUAACGCAUAAGCGCCCCGCCUGGGGAGUACGGCCGCAAGGCUAAAACUCAAAGGAAUUGACGG
rnacentral:rRNA from 1 species